GCGGCUGCUAUACUGCAGUCGAGCGAACUGAUUAGAAGCUUGCUUCUAUGACGUUAGCGGCGGACGGGUGAGUAACACGUGGGCAACCUGCCUGUAAGACUGGGAUAACUCCGGGAAACCGGAGCUAAUACCGGAUAACAUUUUCUCUUGCAUAAGAGAAAAUUGAAAGAUGGUUUCGGCUAUCACUUACAGAUGGGCCCGCGGUGCAUUAGCUAGUUGGUGAGGUAACGGCUCACCAAGGCAACGAUGCAUAGCCGACCUGAGAGGGUGAUCGGCCACACUGGGACUGAGACACGGCCCAGACUCCUACGGGAGGCAGCAGUAGGGAAUCUUCCGCAAUGGACGAAAGUCUGACGGAGCAACGCCGCGUGAGUGAUGAAGGCUUUCGGGUCGUAAAACUCUGUUGUUAGGGAAGAACAAGUACAAGAGUAACUGCUUGUACCUUGACGGUACCUAACCAGAAAGCCACGGCUAACUACGUGCCAGCAGCCGCGGUAAUACGUAUGUGGCAAGCGUUAUCCGGAAUUAUUGGGCGUAAAGCGCGCGCAGGCGGUUUCUUAAGUCUGAUGUGAAAGCCCACGGCUCAACCGUGGAGGGUCAUUGGAAACUGGGGAACUUGAGUGCAGAAGAGAAAAGCGGAAUUCCACGUGUAGCGGUGAAAUGCGUAGAGAUGUGGAGGAACACCAGUGGCGAACGCGGCUUUUUGGUCUGUAACUGACGCUGAGCGCGAAAGCGUGGGGAGCAAACAGGAUUAGAUACCCUGAUAGUCCACGCCGUAAACGAUGAGUGCUAAGUGUUAGAGGGUUUCCGCCCUUUAGUGCUGCAGCUAACGCAUUAAGCACUCCGCCUGGGGAGUACGGUCGCAAGACUGAAACUCAAAGGAAUUGACGGGGGCCCGCACAGCGUGAGCAUGUGGUUUAAUUCGAAGCACGCGAGAACCUUACCAGGUCUGACAUCCUCUGACACUCUAGAGAUAGAGCGUUCCUCUUCGGGGCACAGAGUGACAGUGUA
rnacentral:rRNA from 1 species